GGGGUUGUAGCUCAACCGGAAGAGCACCCGGCUUGCACCCGGAAGAUCGGGGUUCGAUUCCCCGCGACUCCA
rnacentral:tRNA from 1 species